rnacentral:lncRNA from 1 species
CAAUAGCUUUCUCAUCUAUAACAAAAGUAAUUAUAUUCCUUCGAACUUUUCUCUAAAGUGGAAUUCAACUACCACUUUUUUUGCCCUGAAGAAAAUAAAAACCAAACACCAUGUGAGCAACUAACAAGAAUCAAAAUUGAUACAUAUGUUAUUCAUAUUAGUCAAAAAAUUAAGAGAGAAAAAAAAAGAGGAAAAAGAACAAUACCCAGAAAGGAAUUAAUCCUGAUGGUAGAAAUAACAGAAUUAUCAGACCCUGAAAACAAACCAAAGUAACAAGAACUAAAAGCUAACCUCUGAGACGAAACUGGGUGGAGGGGAUGAAAUAGAAGAAAAGUAGUUUUGGUGGCAUGCGUAUUAAUUGAGAAUUUUAAGGAGUGAUAACGGCUUCUAGCAGAUAAGAACAAGUAUAAAAGAGAAGGCUGAGAUAGAGACUCCUUAAAUUGGAUUAAAUUUAUAACUGUAGGUGUUAAUAUAUCAAAUACAUGUACUCUACUAAAUAAGCAAUAUUUAAGACAUCAAGUAAUAUAAGUAAUUGAGUUUAUUUAAGGUAAAUGAUGGAUAAAUGAGAGAGACGAUCAGACCAAGAAAAGUUCAAGAAAAUGGUCAAAGAGAUUAUUUUCUUCAACU